UGCUCUUGAUGUGAUAAGCUCUUCGUGGCUC
rnacentral:piRNA from 1 species